CCCAGAUAUCCUUAGGGCCUGGAAUUCAGACAAAAAAAUCACACUAAUUUUCAAGAUAGAUGACUGAAAGAUGUAGACUUCAAGUGUCGUUAGUUGUAACUUAUAAAAGCAUUGACUAGUUGCAUCUUUACCCCUUAAUUUUUAUCCACAUUUUCCCUUUCAGGCAAUGAAAGGAUCCUCAUAUAAAAAAUCUGUCAUUUUCUGCGCUCAUCUAAAUUGUUCAUAUGACUUAAGCCUCCAAAAGCCGAAGCUCGGAAACUUUUGCUUCUGCUACGGCGGCAAAAGUUUUUACACCUCCCAAAAGAAAAUUGAAAGUUUUUGGUGCUUUUUUGAAUAAUCCUACUCAAAUAGCACUUUUACAGAAGCUCCAGCGGGGUCGAGAAAGCUCUGAAAGUUUUUUUUCUGGAGAUGUCACUAAGCAUCAGUUGAAUGGCAUAAUGUUUCUUAUCAAGGAAGGUAAAAAUACUCAUUAAAAUAUUUGUUUUAUAAUUUUUAUUUCUCCUCAAGUUCUUUAUGGUUAAAUGCACUCAAAUAUUAUUUUUCUCUUUAAAUAUGUUAGUUCUAAAUUGCUUACAUACUAUAUAUUUAUGGAUUUUGUUUGAUAACAAAGAACACAAAUACAAUAGUACUUUCUUUUCCUUAUCUUUCUUUUGAUAAAACGAUGUGUUUGCCAAAAAAAAAAAAAAAAGAUAGAUUCAUUUCUUCGUGUUUCUUACCAUAUAAACUCCAGGAAAAAAAAAUGAAAAAAAGUCAAAAGAUGCUGUAAUUUAAUUAAUUAAUUUGUUUUUCCCCUGGGAAUACUAUGGCACUAAUGAGUACAAAUUUUUUUUUAUAAAUAAUUCUAUCAAUUUUUAUAAUUGUAAAAAUAGUUUUUUUUAAAAAAUAAUUAUAAAAAUAGACCUCUAAAUGCGGUGAAUAAUUCACCGCAUUCAUAACUUCCCAUUAGUAGUAGAAAAAGAAUAAAAGCGGUGAACCAUUCAUCGCUGUUAUUAUCGUAGAAAUAUAGAAUGAAAUGAGAAAAAGAAAGAAAGCGGUGAAUGGUUCACCGCUUUUAAAAGCUGUUAUAGGACUAUAUUUACAAAUAAAAAUUUAACAGAUUUAUUUUUAGAAUAAAAUUUUAGGAGAAAACUAUUGCACUAAAAAACCCAAUGAGUACACUCUUAAUCUCCCUUAUAUUUGGAAGCUAAUUAUUGUUGGUACCUAAGCUCUCAUUAUUAUAGAGAACUAUAUAUUCAUAUCAUUAUUAUUGUUUAUGCUUCUAAGCAAUAGUACUUAACCUGAAACACCAUAUUGGGCGCGCAAUUAGCGCCCGCGAAUGAUAUCGGCCCGACUAGAAACUGAAGAUUUUGUGGGACCAAAACUGUUGAUCCUCCUCCCUCCUUGCAUGCUGCUUUCCAUGUAUUCUCAAAUGCCUGCAAAAUUUAUAAAAAUGGAAGGGGGAAAAAAAAAAAUCAAAUUAGUGCUCUCUUUUUUGACUUUAAAUUGUUUGUUGUGUAUCAUGUGUUGGUAACCAAUUUGCAUGGGUUAUUCAUUUUUAGUUUCUUGGGCAUGUAAUGUGACCUAGUUAGUAAUCGGUGUCGAUUGCAAUAUUCAUUUGUAUUAUUUUAGUAGUUUAAACAUAAGAACUUGUAUCUGUUUAGGUCUAAGGACUUGUUUGGCCCAGCUGUGCGCGCUGCAGUGGUGUGAAGCGCCAGCUUCGGUGCUUUUUACUACUGCAGUGCCUGCAGUGAGGCCGAUCAGGUUGUAUUUUACGCGCCGAAUAGGUGAUUAUAUCUUUGUCACCUUCGUGUCGUCGGUCACGCCGUCGCCACUGGCUCCGAAAUCCACGACGUUGAAAACCGUUCCACUCAGUGCGGGACGGUCCAGAGUCGAAGUCAGGUUUGACAUCGACGGCGGCGGUGGCGACGGCAAUAACGGGCUUGGCGGGGGAGAAGGGCUCGGCUUCGGCCCCCCUACCCCAUGGUGGUGGUGGUGGCUACUACCCAAAUGCCUCGCUCUUCUCGCACCGCAUGCAUCGAAAUUCGUGCAUGUAACGAGGAAGAAGAGCAGGAGGAGGGCCAUAGUGCCAUUUUGCACAAAGCCCCUCAUAUUCCUACAAUUUCGCAUGAGCUGUGCUUGGAGUUUGAGGAAGUGUUAAUAGUUGAUAUGAAUGGAGGGAAACAAGGUUUAGCUUUAAAUAGGGGGGAUCCUCCACCCUUAAAAACAUCAUGAUUUGGUCAUGCUUUUGUCAUAUGUCCUCUUUUCUCUACAACCUAUUUGUUUUCUUUACGUAUUUCGUAUUUUUCGUCGAACUAUUUAUUGCUAAUUUAGUGGCAAUUUAGUGGCCUAUUUGUAUUUCAAUGUAAUAGUGCUUUUUCUCCGUGCAUGAAACUUUUGCUAACUAGAAGAGUAUAGGAGGUUAUUUAUUUAUAUUAGUGAAAAUCAGUAACAAUUAUUUUUGUGA